GGCUUAUAAAGAAAGAUGGAGGGAACUGACCCUGUGAAAUCUUGACAACCUACCCAUUGGGCAAGGUGUUACGUUCAGCCUUUUAAGGAAAAAUAAGCA
rfam:Spinacia oleracea cultivar SynViroflay scaffold87733.con0005.1, whole genome shotgun sequence.